rnacentral:rRNA from 1 species
AGAGUUUGAUCCUGGCUCAGAACGAACGCUGGCGGCAGGCUUAACACAUGCAAGUCGAACGCGUGUAGCAAUACACGAGUGGCGCACGGGUGAGUAACGCGUGGAUAUCUGCCUUUUGGUUCGGAAUAACCCCGGGAAACUGGGGCUAAUACCGGAUGGUUCCUUCGGGAUAAAGAUUUAUCGCCAAAAGAUGAGUCCGCGUCCGAUUAGCUAGUUGGUGAGGUAAUGGCUCACCAAGGCGACGAUCGGUAGCUGGUCUGAGAGGACGAUCAGCCACACUGGGACUGAGACACGGCCCAGACUCCUACGGGAGGCAGCAGUGGGGAAUAUUGGACAAUGGGGGCAACCCUGAUCCAGCCAUGCCGCGUGAGUGAUGAAGGCCUUCGGGUUGUAAAGCUCUUUUGGCGGGGACGAUGAUGACGGUACCCGCAGAAUAAGCCCCGGCUAACUUCGUGCCAGCAGCCGCGGUAAGACGAAGGGGGCUAGCGUUGUUCGGAAUUACUGGGCGUAAAGCGCGUGUAGGCGGUUAUCCAAGUCGGGUGUGAAAGCCUUGAGCUCAACUCAAGAAAUGCACUCGGUACUGGGUGACUAGAGGACCGGAGAGGAUAGUGGAAUUCCCAGUGUAGUGGUGAAAUACGUAGAGAUUGGGAAGAACACCAGUGGCGAAGGCGGCUAUCUGGACGGUUUCUGACGCUAAGACGCGAAAGCGUGGGGAGCAAACAGGAUUAGAUACCCUAGUAGUCC